rnacentral:rRNA from 1 species
GACGAACGCUGGCGGCGUGCCUACUACAUGCAAGUCGAGCGAAGCGGCGGACGGGUGAGUAUCACGUAAGGAACCUACCGAUAAGCGGGGGACAACAUCCGGAAACGGGUGCUAAUACCGCCUACCUAGCGAUGGCCUUGCGUUGCAUUAGCUCGUUGGUGGGGUAACGGCCUACCAAGGCAAUGAUGCAUAGCAGACCUGAGAGGGUAACCGGCCACAUGGGGACUAGGACCCGGCCCAAACUCCAGCGAGAGGCAGUGGUAGGGACUCUUCCGCAAUGGGAGCAAGCCUAACGGGGCAACGCCGCGUGAGUAAAGAAGGUUUUCGGGUCGUAAAGCUCUGUUGAAAGAAAAGCGGUAACUAACCAGAAGGCCACGGCGAACUACGUGCCAGCAGCCGCGGUAAUAC